CGCGGCCGCCGGGCCGCCCGCGGGGUGGGGCGGGGUGGGCCGGGGGGCUCGCCGGGGCCGGGCGGGCCGCGCAGCCCGCGCGGGUGGCAGCUGUCAGCGCGCCGGGCGCCGGCGGGCCUGCAUCCCGAGCCGGAGCUCGAGCCCGCCGUUCCGCGGGGGUGGGGGCGCGGGCCGGCCCGGAGCCCCGCGCCCUCCAUCCUUUCCCCUGGCUCCGCACUUUGUCCCCGGGCCUCGCUUUCGACCAGCGGCGCCCCUGCCCCCGGGUGGCUUUAGGCCCGAAGCACGGACGGGAGACGGCUUUCCUUCUGCUGCGUUUUUCUUUCCUUUUAAAUUAAACCUUCAACUUAAGUUUUUGAAAUUGUACCCACGCGGCCUCGUGAUCCGGCUUGUGCAAGAUUUUUUUUUUUUUGUGCGUUUUUACCCGGAUCUCCGCGGGGGCUCUUGUGUUGUGUUUUUUUUUCUCCCCUCCUCCGGAGUGGAGACCUGAGGCUGGUGUUGAGCUGACAAGACCGUGAGGCGCGUCACCAAGAGCGGAUUCCCAGACUUAGGGGAAGGGCAAGGAAAAGUUGUCUCGGAGGAGCCUGCCUUCCCCGGCUCGCCCAGGUCUGAAAUGCUGACGGCCGAAGAGGCGAUCGGCGCGCAUUGGACAAACACCGAGGCAUGCUUCAAGUUUUCAUGUUGCAUUUCAGGAAUGGGAGACUGGUGUUUUCCAGAAGACGUACCCUCUUUUCUGAUGGCUGAAGGUUCCUUGCACAAGCUCGGUCUUUCCGUUGUAUGACGUUGAUUUACUUUUUUUCUUUUAUGGAUGCCCGAUUUGAAGCUUCGGUGUAAAAAAAGUAGAUUCCCGAAUCACGCUUUUUUUAGGCAAAGCUUCAAGGCCGAAGGCCACUGUAUUACGGAGUUUCAUCAGCCCUUUCCUUGGGAAGCACUGGGUUUUUUAGUUUCUCUCUGCUUCCUUGCCCUCCGUAUGGGAGGAGGUGCCCAUGCGAGCGAUGUCCUUUGAUUUCAUGUCUCUUUGAUCCUCUCUUUAAUGCAGUCUUGUACAAGAUAACCUCAUUCUUGUUCCAGUGCGGUUUGUGGAGUUGGAUGUUUACGUACAAAAGGACCCGGAAAGUGGGCCCGUGCUGUUAGGAAGGCUCUUGGAGAAAGACAGCCGGAGUAGCAUCUUGUAGCUGAAAUGGAUCUCGGGGAUGGUCAGGUUCUCCUGCCUCCUUUGCCAGCUUUGACUCUAUGGUACAAAAGUUGCUUCCUGGGUUAGUCCUAAGGCAGAACACUGGAUCUUCCUUGGUGAGAUUAACUUUAUCAGAAUCAUUCUUGAUGAGAUUAUCUGACAACAGGAUAAUCACAGUGGCUAAAUCAAGAUGGGUUUUGAGGAGGAACGGAAGCUACAGCAGCCUGCUGUAGGCUGGUGUUUUUGUUGUAUAGCUUUAACUGUCCUCCUCCCUAAAGCUUAGAAACAACUGCUUCAAGUAAUCUUUGUAGCCUCAAUAUAUGAGAGCUUUUAAAAGGUAUGAUGAGGAGGGGUUGUAAGAACACAGUUAAUCUGGCAGUAGGCAAGAGUGAGUAGAGCAUGUUUUAAGAGUUGGAGGUAAAUUGUAGUUGCUAGCCAGGAUUUUUUACUGGACGUUGGAAUAGUGAGUUUGUAUGUUGAUUUUUAUAAUUUAAUUUCUUUAAAGUUACACUAAGUGAGAGUUGCUUUUCACUUAAUGAAGACUGUUCCAAAGACAAAAUAAAAAGCAGAUUUUGAGUUGGUGCUUUGUAUUUCACAUGGAACUCUGAGGGUUAUAGUUAUACUUGUUUAACCUCCAUACUUUUCUGGGCCACUUCCUUUCAGGCUAUCAAGUACUUUAUUGAAAGAAACAGUCCUUACAAGGCUAAAGAGAACAAAGAAGCAGCAUAUUGUGGACUUGUUUGUCUCACAUUCUCUGUGAUCACCCAGGGAAUUUCUUCAGUGUAAGUAAAUACUGCGUUAGUGUUAUCAGACGUUUUGAAUGUCUCAGUCUGCUUAAUGAUUCUUUCUGUCAUUAUUUUACCUCCCCUUCCCCAGUGGAAAUAGACAAAACCAGAAAACAAACUUACCUUGUUGGUCAGUUACGAUCAUGUCGCUGCGGAAGGCAUGCUGUUUCCUGCCUGUAAGUUUUUAUAAAUUUUCAGUGAGAUUGAAUUUACGUAAUAUUAUAUGGAUGCUUGCCUCCUGGCUUUUGGUGGUACUGCUCUUUUGUUCAAUCAUUUAAAUAAUAGUACCCCCCUGCCCCCAGGAAAAUAGACUUACUGUUUUGCUUUUGGCAGACCCAGAGAAAGGUACAGUAAAGGAAGGUGCUAUAUACUCUUGGCUAAAACUACUGUUUCUGGAUUACUUCUGGAUUUUUCCCUGUCUUCUGUCUUUUCACUGAUCAUUAACCCUGGAAAACAAAGAAUCUUCAUAUAUAAACAAUGAAUUACUUGUUUAGUUGUAACGUAAUAUUGCAGACCGGCUGUUUAAAUACAUUUAUGUCAACUACUAUAAAAAGCGUCACUUGGAAAGUACAGAGAUUGGCGGCUAAUUCCGUAGUUGUGGUAUCAGUUUAUUUUCUUGGUAGCGUCUGUUGCUGUGCCUAAUUAGUUAGUUGUCAUUUGAAUUUGAAUGUGGCUGGCUGAUAGUGAAUUCUAGUCGGGAUGGGUGUGGAAAGUUACCAUUUAUAUGGCGCUAACUAAAGGCCGAUCUCUUCAUCUGCCUUAGAAAGACUGAACAAGCGUUUCUUAAGCGACUUGUGAGUGUAGUACUAUUGGAGACAACGUAAAGACUGGGUAAAUAUGGUAUCAAAAUUAUUUUUAGGGCUUUAUGGAAUUUAUUUUUUAAACUCUAAGGACCGGGCACCUGGG